rnacentral:rRNA from 1 species
GCAGGGAUAAACGCUGAAAGCAUCUAAGCGUGAAGCCCCCCUCAAGAUGAGAUUUCCCAUUUCUUCGGAAAGUAAGAUCCCUGAAAGAUGAUCAGGUAGAUAGGUUUGGAGUGGAAGUGUAGCGAUACAUGGAGCGGACAAAUACUAAUCGAUCGAGGACUUAACCAAAA